rnacentral:rRNA from 1 species
GAACGAACGCUGGCGGCAUGCCUAACACAUGCAAGUCGAACGAACCCUUCGGGGUUAGUGGCGCACGGGUGCGUAACGCGUGGGAACCUGCCUUUAGGUUCGGAAUAACUCAGAGAAAUUUGAGCUAAUACCGGAUAAUGUCUUCGGACCAAAGAUUUAUCGCCUUUAGAUGGGCCCGCGUUAGAUUAGAUAGUUGGUGGGGUAAUGGCCUACCAAGUCGACGAUCUAUAGCUGGUCUGAGAGGAUGAUCAGCCACACUGGGACUGAGACACGGCCCAGACUCCUACGGGAGGCAGCAGUGGGGAAUAUUGGACAAUGGGCGAAAGCCUGAUCCAGCAAUGCCGCGUGAGUGAUGAAGGCCUUAGGGUUGUAAAGCUCUUUUACCAGGGAUGAUAAUGACAGUACCUGGAGAAUAAGCUCCGGCUAACUCCGUGCCAGCAGCCGCGGUAAUACGGAGGGAGCUAGCGUUGUUCGGAAUUACUGGGCGUAAAGCGCGCGUAGGCGGCUUUUUAAGUCAGGGGUGAAAUCCCGGGGCUCAACCCCGGAACUGCCCUUGAAACUGGAUGGCUAGAAUACUGGAGAGGUGAGUGGAAUUCCGAGUGUAGAGGUGAAAUUCGUAGAUAUUCGGAAGAACACCAGUGGCGAAGGCGACUCACUGG